rnacentral:rRNA from 1 species
UUCGGUCCCUAUCUGCCGUGGGCGCUGGAGAACUGAGGGGGGCUGCUCCUAGUACGAGAGGACCGGAGUGGACGCAUCACUGGUGUUCGGGUUGUCAUGCCAAUGGCACUGCCCGGUAGCUAAAUGCGGAAGAGAUAAGUGCUGAAAGCAUCUAAGCACGAAACUUGCCCCGAGAUGAGUUCUCCCUGAGACUUAAAGUCUCCUGAAGGAACGUUGAAGACGACGACGUUGAUAGGCCGGGUGUGUAAGCGCAGCGAUGCGUUGAGCUAACCGGUACUAAUGAACCGUGAGGCUUAACCUUACAACGCCGAAG